GCCUGGGUGGCUCAGUCAGUUAAGCAUCUGACUUCAGCUCAGGUCACGAUCUCAUGGUUCGUGGGUUCGAGCCCCGCAUUGGGCU
rnacentral:tRNA from 1 species